UCUACUUCGUAGACUUAUGUCAUAGGUACCACUUAUUACAUACACAGUCCUCUCAAAACCCUAGAUAUUUUUAUAUCAACGGAGGCAUCUUUUCAUACGCAGAUUUUUCUGUCGCUUGAUAUCUUGAAAUAUCUCUCGCAGAUUCAACUUUGUAUGCAAGAUGGCUGGGCAGAGAAACUAUGGGAAGCGUUCUCAUUCUCAGUCUGACUUUGGUGAUAAUGGAAGAAACAAAAGAAGAAAUUCUGGAACUGAUAAAGAUCUUUUCUCUAUUGGGCCGGAUGACACCGUGUACCGCUACUUGUGCCCUGGAAAGAAGAUUGGAAGUAUUAUAGGAAGGGGAGGGGAAAUUGUUAAGCAAUUAAGAGUGGAAACUAAAUCGAAGAUUAGAAUUGGCGAGUCAGUACCUGGAUGUGAAGAUCGCGUUGUCACUAUAUAUAGUACUAGCGAGGAAACAAAUGAUUUUGAUGAUAGUGAUGAUCGUGUUUGUCCUUCUCAAGAUGCACUUUUCAAGGUGCAUGAUAGAAUUGUUGCUGAGGACGUUUCAGUUGAUGAGGACUCUGAAGAAGCUCCACAAGUUACUGCUCGGCUUCUAGUGCCUUCUGAUCAGAUUGGAUGCAUCAUUGGGAAAGGUGGGCAGAUAGUUCAGAAUAUUCGUAGUGAAACUGGAGCUCAGGUUCGCAUUCUCAAGGAUGACCAUUUGCCUGCGUGUGCAUUGGGCUCGGAUGAACUUGUGCAGAUAUCUGGUGAAGGCUCUCUAGUUAAGAAAGCUCUUUAUCAGAUUGCAUCUCGUCUUCAUGACAAUCCUUCUCGAUCUCAGCAUUUGCUGGCUUCUUCUGCCCCCAGUGUCUACCCUACUGGUGGUUCACUUAUUGGGGGUCCUGCUGGUGCUUCCAUUAUGGGAUUGACUCCACUAGUCGGGCCUUAUGGAGAAUAUAAAGGAGAGAGUGGAGAUUGGUCACGUUCUCUCUACUCGGCUCCAAGGAAUGAAGCAUCUUCAAAGGAAUUCUCACUUCGUUUGAUUUGUCCAACUGUUAACAUUGGAGGUGUUAUCGGCAAGGGUGGAGUGAUAAUAAAUCAAAUCAGACAAGAAUCUAGGGCAUCUAUCAAAGUUGAUAGUUCUGCUGCAGAGGGAGAUGAUUGUGUAAUAUCUAUUUCUGCGAAAGAGUAUUUUGAAGAUACAUUCUCUCCAACGAUCGAAGCAGCACUGCGCUUGCAGCCUAGAUGCAGCGACAAAAUUGAAAGAGAUUCAGGUCUUAUUUCAUUCACUACAAGGUUACUUGUUCCAACCUCUCGGAUUGGUUGCCUUAUUGGCAAAGGAGGUUCAAUUAUUUCAGAAAUGAGGAAAAUUACUAAAGCUAAUAUUCGCAUACUGUCAAAGGAAAACCUUCCUAAGGUGGCUUCUGAAGAUGAUGAGAUGGUGCAGAUUUCUGGAGACCUUGAAAUUGCAAAGGAUGCUCUUACGCAAGUAACUUCACGCUUGAGGGCAAAUCUUUUUGAGAAGGAGGGUGCUAUGUCAGCCUUUGUUCCUGUACUUCCAUACCUUCCAGUGUCGGCAGAUGGUUCAGAGAGUUUAAAAUAUGAACACAGAGAUGCUAAGAACCGUGGCCAUGGGUAUUCCUAUUCUGGUGGAUAUGAUGGCUCUCCUGAAUUGCCACGUGUUGAAGCUUAUGGAAGUUAUAGUGGUCUUCAGAGUGGGGGUGGCAGCUCUGCUUAUGGUGUAUAUGGAGGUUAUUCCUCAGGUCGUUCUGGUGGUUCUGGUUUAUCAUGCACGGAAUGAGGAGCUUGCCACUGUAGCAGUUAGAGGGAAGAUGCAGCUCCGAGGACAGGACUGAUCCUGGUUUUUGAAAAUCACUGAAAAAUCUGGCAGCAACUGCUUAUGGAACAUGCGUUUUUUACAAACAACAGGUAAUAUUCUAACUCCCAGUGUAUCAGAUAAAUCUUGUAGCCAAAAACAAUUUUCAGGGCGCAAUCUAUGCAUCUGAUGGUGGUAAGGUUAAAAUGCUUGAUAUCACAUGCUGACAGAUUUCCCUCCCUUUCCACGUACAAGUAUGAUACUGAUUUAACUGUUAUUUGUUUCUUUAUAUCAUUUUGUGCUCUACUUUGAGACGUCUGAAAGUUCAGUUGUGCACUCCGUGCAUUCUCUCACCAAACAGCUAAACUGUGUUGAAAGCUUGAAAGUCACGUUUGAGCUGUGUCAGAUUCUUUUGUUUUAGUUUAUAAUGCUCAUUCCGAACUUCACGACUUCUACUGCAGAUGCAGCCAAUGAAAGAUUGCAUUAGAUUUGUGUCUUAUAUCACUACUUUACAUCGUCUUUCAUUCAAUGCACAAUUCUAUUCUAUUUGUACUGGAUGUUCUAAUGGCUAGAAACGAGAUUUGUCUAAAUACUGAUUCUGAUUCAAUCUCGAAUUCUUGUAAUCUAGACUUGCCUAAUUUUCUAUAUAGCUUUUUAGCAAUUAUGGAUGUGUUAUGUGGUUGAUGGAUAAACAGUGCCCUGUUGUUGUAGAGUCCCUGCACAAGGCUGGACAAAGACUAGAACGUGAUGGAACAUUUGUUGGUAGUUGGUAUGGUGGAUUGGAUUCUACAUAAUAGGAUUAAAGGAUAAAAAGAAUUUAAGAUUUUCUUUUUGAUAAUAGUUUGUAUCGGCCCUUUUUGGAUGUGCUCAGAAUCAUGGGUCGGAACCUUGGAGGUUUUAUACGGUAUGGAGUUUGCAGUUUGUUAAUUGGGAUGCCUUUCAUAUAGAUUGGUAAAAAUAAUACCAUAGAAGUUGAAUCAGAAACUAACCAGUUGGCAGUUGUAGGCUACUGUGAAAAUGUUUUCGAUAAAUAUUCCAGUUUAACAGCUUCGAUAAUGUCUCCUAUGCUUGAAAGGUGGAUCUUCUCCAUUGUAUUUAAAGUCCUCUACCAGCUUCAAAAGAGGAAA